AGCGAACGCUGGCGGCAGGCCUAACACAUGCAAGUCGAACGGCAGCACAGUAAGAUCUUGUUCUUACGGGUGGGGAGUGGCGGACGGGUGCGGAAUAGAUCGGAAUCUACUUUUUCGUGGGGGAUAACGUAGGGAAACUCACGUUAAUACCGCAUACGACCUACGGGAGAAAGCAGGGGAUCUUCGGACUUUGCGCGAUUGAAUGAGCCGAUGUCGGGUUAGCUAGUUGGCGGGGUCAAGGCCCACCAAGGCGACGGUCCGUAGCUGGUCUGAGGGGUUGGUGCGCCAGCCGGUAACCUAGGCACGGGACAGACUCCAGCGGGAGGCAGCAGUCGGGAGUGUUGGACAAUGGACGCAAGCCUGAUCCAGGAAUACCGCGUGGGUGGAGAAGGAUUUCGGGUUGUAAAGCCCUUUUGUUGUGAAAGAAAAGCAGCAGGUUAAUACCCCGCGGUGCUGACGGUACCCAAAGAAUAAGCACCGGCUAACUUCGUG
rnacentral:rRNA from 1 species